UAAGCGUGUGAUGAAAUUUUAGGGCUCAACCCUGGGACUGUUAUGCGAACUGCGAAGCUAGAGUAUAUGAGGGGUAGCUGGAAUUCAUAGUGUAGGAGUGAAAUCCGUAGAUAUUAUGAGGAACACCAAUGGCGUAGGCAGGCUACUGGCAUAUUACUGACACUGAGGCACGAAGCGUGGGAGCGAACGGGAUUAGACUACCCCGGUAGUCCACGCCGUAAACGAUGGAUGCUA
rnacentral:rRNA from 1 species